rnacentral:lncRNA from 1 species
CAAACAACGAUUUUAAAAUUUAUGGGACCCACUUAAGUUCAAGAUAUACUUGAAACAAUCAAUUCAAUCACCUUCAGAAGCUUGGUCUGUCUCAAUAUGCCUUUUGUUAUAUUUAUGAGUUUAUCUCACUUAUUAAGUUACUAAUUUUUUUUUUUUUUUGGCACUGAUCAUGCUUUAGGUAAACAAUAUUGACGCUGAAGAAAGACUUACAGUUGCAGAUGCUUUGGUAUAUGCUUGCAACCAAGGAGUGGAUAAAGUACACUUACAUGCCUUUACUUUUGCAUCUCUUUGGAAAACACCAUUUUUAUGGGUUUUAUUCUCUCAUCAGUUGUCCAUGUAUUUCGUUUUCUGGAACGAGUACCUAAAACGCACGAGAUAUAUGAUACACAAAUUUAAAACCUUUGAAUAAGUCAUGACACUAAAAUUUUAGGGUUCACUUUGGAUUUUGAUAUGUGUUUUUAAUCAUUUGCAGAUCGUUGAUUUGGCCACAUUGACUGGGGCUUGUUUGUUGCUCUUGGGCCCUCUAUUGCUGGUAUGUAAUUUAUAAAUCUUAUUUGUCCUGUAUUCUUUGAGAACCACCUCCGAUCCAAUAGAUUUUUUGGCUUCUUUUCAAUUUGAAAUUCAUAAAAUGUUCUUAACAUGGAGAUUCGUUGUGAAGAUCCUUGCACUGGCUUAUUCUUGAUAUAAAAAAUCAGGUGUUUUUACACCCAGUGAUGACCUGGCAAAUGAGGUAUUUGCAGCUUCAGAGGUUAGUGGGGAAAAACUUUGGUGGAUGCCCCUGGAGGAAAGUUAUUGGGAGUCCAUGAAAUCUGGAGUGGCUGAUAUGGUGAACACCGAUGGUCGCCAAGGUGGUUCCAUCACUGCAGCUCUUUCCUUGAAGCAGGUAUAGCUUCCUCCGCACCCCUUAUUCCAUGCUGAAGAUUAAGUUUGUUUUACGUUUUAAGCUUUUUACAUACAAUUUGAAAAAGAACUAUGGAAUUGCAAUUCUCGAACAAGCAAUCGAAAAGAUUCUGGAGCAUCCUCCAUUUUAGUUGUUACGAUAAUUGCCUAAGUUGUAGUUUUGAACAAUUCUUAUAGCAAGUCGAUUUCAAAUCUAGAAUAUUGGCUAUUCCGAAAAGAAUUUCAAAAUUUAACCAAUGGGCUUCUUUUUCUGAUGGCAAAAAAUAAUAAAAUAAAAAAAUCUUGUUAUGUUCCUUUUAAUCAGAGGAAAUCACUUGAUUGAAUAUGGAAAAAUUGGGUGCUGCCAUGUAGCUUAAUAUCAGCUAUGUUCAUGAGUUGAAGAUGCAUGGGUCAUUAGUGGGAGUUUAGUUUGUGCAUGGGCGUGGGUUACUUAAGUGUCGCAACAACUGAUACUCAUUUGGAGAUGUUUGCAAAUUUGACCAAUUGAGGCAGGUGAUUUUUUUAGUUGGCAAACUAACACUCCAAAUGGUGAAAGAAUCGCCCCCUCUCCAUGUCUACUGGAUCUGUUCUUGGGGAUAAGGAAAUUUUUUAUGGAUCAUUGGACAUUUUAGUUCAUCUGAAGGUCUAGAUAUGAUUGCAUAGAUUCUCUUCUUGUCUUUCCUUAAAUUACAUUUUUCCCUUCCCCUAGUUUUCUACUAAAUUCUGCAUUUUUAUUUCAUGAAUUUGAACCUCUGCACUUCAUGAAAACAGAUUUUCUUCCGAAUUUCUUAGAAAAAUUUAUUAGAUAAUACGUGUUAUAUUCCAAAGUUAUCCCAGUUCUAGCCUCUAUAAAUGCUGUAUACCAUAAGAAUUUGUUUGUAAGGUGGACUAUACAAUACUAGGCACUAUUAAGGAAGAAAAAAAUGUUAAAUCUAGUCUAUUGUAUUGCGUACCAAAGAUGUUCUAAAAGUUCUCUAAAUGUAUACCUUACAACGCUUUGUGUUUGUGGGGUGGGGGGCCCUAAUAAAGUGAAACCCAAAUGAGCUCCGACUAAUAAUAGAUUAAGAAACGAAAGCACGUGUUUGAGACUAUAAGUUGUUCCCUAGUCUGUCUCAGUGAAGGCACCUGACAUGUAACUCCGUACAUGCAGUUUGUUGAUGAGAAGGUCCAGUGGAUGCACAUUGACAUGGCUGGCCCGGUUUGGAAUGAUAAGAAGAAAAUUGCAACUGGUUUUGGUAUUUCAACACUGGUUACAUGGGUUCUAAAGAAUUCUUCUUAGUUUGGGUGUCCGUGGGGCUGCUCAGAGGACAAAUACCUUAUAUCUGAAGUCGAUUCAAGAAAAAAUGGAAAAUUCUUAUUCAGGUUGUUCGAUGGCUGGGGUGUCGAGUUAUACUAAUAAAGAUGGUUAGAGAAGAAAACGAGGCCGUUGCUGCGUUCUGGAGUCGUGAACUCUUGUUACUGUUCCUUUAUAUUAUGAGAAGUUUCUUUUAUUUUUGGCCCUAUCAUCUUGUUCCUGGGAAAAUGAAAAUAUCCCAUGUUUCUGCAUGCAAAAUGUGAUGUAAAAUGAACGCAGAUUGUUCUCGAACUUUCCUCAGCAUGGUUUACCCCAGCAUAGCUUACCAAGGCUUGAUCUCGGGCAGGAUAAAAAAAUUUCAAUGCUAAUGUGACAAUAGAAUCUUAGUUAUGACUGUAGCAAAUUUUUAUUCUAUCCAC